rnacentral:rRNA from 1 species
AUUGAACGCUGGCGGCAGGCCUAACACAUGCAAGUCGAACGGUAACAGGAAGAAGCUUGCUUCUUUGCUGACGAGUGGCGGACGGGUGAGUAAUGUCUGGGAAACUGCCUGAUGGAGGGGGAUAACUACUGGAAACGGUAGCUAAUACCGCAUAACGUCGCGAGACCAAAGAGGGGGACCUUCGGGCCUCUUGCCAUCGGAUGUGCCCAGAUGGGAUUAGCUAGUAGGUGGGGUAACGGCUCACCUAGGCGACGAUCCCUAGCUGGUCUGAGAGGAUGACCGGCCACACUGGAACUGAGACACGGUCCAGACUCCUACGGGAGGCAGCAGUGGGGAAUAUUGCACAAUGGGCGCAAGCCUGAUGCAGCCAUGCCGCGUGUAUGAAGAAGGCCUUCGGGUUGUAAAGUACUUUCAGCGGGGAGGAAGGGAGUAAAGUUAAUACCUUUGCUCAUUGACGUUACCCGCAGAAGAAGCACCGGCUAACUCCGUG